GGAAAAAGAUAGUGAAAUUAUUCAUAAUCUCAAAACAGAAUAUGAAACUGUUCUUAAAAGUUUAAAACAAACUAAGAAUAUGCAUGAAAGAGAUGUAUCUUUAGCUAACGAAAAAUUGUUGGACAUCGAAAACUGCCUUAGUAAUUAUAGAACUGAAGUUAUAGAACAAGAUUUCAGUAGAGAUGGUGUUAAGGAAUUUAUUAUCACAAUAGAAAAAAAA